AGCUUCAGAGUGAUGGGGGCGUUGUUUCUGUAUGUGCUUCAGCCUCAAUGUCUGCCCAAUGCCCAGCCUGGCUCAGCAGUGAGCUCUGGGCAGGGUUUGAGCACGGAGCUGUGGGUGCCUGGAUGAGCUGUGAGGCACAACAUGAGCAAAGCCAUAGCAAAGAGCACUGUGAGCAGAGGAGUACAUUGGACUGAGAGUACCCACCUCUGCCGGGAUCCACACAACUUCAUCUCUCCGAGCAGCACAGCCCCCAGUGUUGGACGGAUGGCCCCAAAACCUCUGAGGUGGUGGCACAGAUCCAUCAGCAUGUGGAACACAGGACCGCAGCGUGGGCUGGCAGCGCCAGGAUUGCACUCUGUGAGCAGCAGUGAUUAUUUCGGAUUUCUGCUAUGUGAGUUAUGUUCCUCUUUCCCAAUAUGCAUUUUUUGGCAUCAGGAAAACAAGAAAACGGCCUUGGAAAAUAUGAACAGGAUGGAAACUGGGAUUGUAAAGCAUCUUGUUCUGGCCUGCUUUCCCUUUUGUGAUCGGCACUGGCGGGGCUGUAAGCCAAUUUAGGGCCAUUUAACCUCAGGGCCUUCUCACGGAAGGAAGGGCUCUGGCAGAGCACAAAGCCCGGCACCUGCAGGGUGGGAUGCGGUGCAGAUGUUCCCAGAUGUGCCGCGGGCACCGCGCUCGGGCCGCCGGGUCACGUUCUGCCUCAGUUAUUAAGGGAAUGCAAUGCUGGUUUGUAAUACCACCGGCGUGUAUUUUGGACAGGUUUGGGUAAUUGGAGAAGUAAUGGAAAUUUAGCACCGUGCGGCCCUGGGGAAGAGCAGACUCCAAAAGUAAGAAGGGAAGCGCAGUGUAGAGAGCUGGCUCUGCUCGGCACGGCUCAGCAGCUCUUCUGCUCAUUGGGGUUUUGCCUCUUCCUUUAGAAGCCCCUUGGCUGCAGCGAUCCUCGUGGUGACACCUCUUGCUUUGCGGUGUUUUCUCCCCCAGGUCUCCAUAGCUGGAGGCCAACCGCUCGCUUCCCCUCAGCACCCAACCCACUGAGCGCUCGCAGCCCCUUUGCAUCCUGAGAACUCACCAACAAAUUGCUUCCACACUCUGGCCCGACAUCAAAACUCGUGCAGUACAAGGGUUAACCAACUUAAACGUUUAAAGAGUCAUGAAAUGGACGGUUUCCGCUUUCCAUCUGGCUUUUAUCAAUCCUAAGUCGGUUUCAGAAGUACAGCUACACAAUCAAAACACACAAUCUCCCUAGUCAGAUAAUUCAAUUUCAUAAAUGAAUUACUUAUGUGCCUGUAAGUAAAUACAUUCCUAUGCAGGGAGAUAUUGACUGCUGUCAAUGGAAUAAUGAGGUCCAGGGGAAGUGGCUGCGGCCCCUCGGGAGUGUCCUGUAGAGACGAGGGACUGAUGGAGAUCCCAGUAUGGGGGAUUUGAGGGGAGAGGAAGGGCUGCUUGUGGGAGGGUCACCUUGAGCCACCCUUAGGGACCAUAGAGUGGGCUGUGAGUGGUAUGAUGGAUGGGAAAGGGGAGGGACUUGGCCGUGGGUUUGUGCCUCCUGGGAUCUUCUAUGGUGUGGUCAGUGGUUGGACUUGAUAAUUGUAGGGGCCUUUUCUGACUUUAAUGAUCCCAUGAUUCUUAUAUCUAGGGAGAAAUGUUGGAGGAGGUGAUCAGAGGGCCUCAGGAUCCUGCCGGGGAGGCAGAAGGUCUCAGCCUUCCCAUGCAGACAGACCUCCUCCCCUCACAGCCCCUCCUUGCUCCCCAGGAUGCUAAAGACCCCCCUCAGGCCCACAGCUUCAUGCAAGAAGAGCUGAUGCUGCGGGAGAUGAUUUGGCAGCUAUUGCAUUUUGGUGUCUUUAUUUAACGUGGGCCUUGUCAGCACAGGCAGGGGCACGGAUAUGCAUCCAUAGACCCACUUGGGUGUUACACAGCAAAGUGUUGCACGGGGAAAUGCAGAGCUGUGCUGCUGAGCUUCCCCUGGGGUAAGGAAACUGCAAAAUCUGAUGGUGUGCACGUCUUGGCCCUGCGGUGUUCUGCUGCCUUCUGUUUCCAUCUCUUUUAACAGUGAGCUUCAAGUACCCAAAGCCCCUAGCAGGAUGGCAGUGCUGGGCUUUAUUGUCUCUUUGAUAUCUAUUUAAUAGCAAGCAAGUCAAAUUCUGAACAAUAGCAUUCAGUUGCUUGAGCAUAGCUGGAAUGGUUGGCUGCUAGGAGCACGUAGUGUUUCCCACCCUGGCUGCAUGCCUCCUUGCCCUUAAGCUUCCCCUUUUGCAGUGAUUUCCUUUAUCUUUAGUGGGGAUUUGACGGAAUGUGAGCAGUGCUGGCAGGGCUGCAUUGCUGAGCUCUGUGUUGGUGGCUGCUGGGGUUUCAGCCCCGCCACGCAGACGCUGGGAGCUGCUAUCAAGCAGAAGGGAAGAAAAACCAAAUAUCACAGGUUUGAAGGAAAGUUGGGCUGCUCCUGCCCUGCAUGUGCCUUCCUCCAAGCGAAUCCGGCCCAUUUCUACUUAAUUGUGCCAUAGAUCUCCCUUGCUGAAGGGGAUUCGGUGCAAGGGUAACGUUUGCUCUCUUCUCCUGGAGUCAAUUGCUGAAUAAAUACAGUGUUGAAAGCCUGGAGAAAUUGGGAGACAACUCUUCAAAAGGACAAUUUUGGGGGGUACAAAUUGUAACCACCAAAUCUGCAUUCCCAUCCUGCAUCUGCGGAUAAUUGCAAGCAUCUGUGGGGCUGAGUGAGUGGGGAUGGGGGGGUGAGGGCAGAGCCCCGCUCUGGGAAUGGGGCUGCAUGGGGUGGGCUGCUGGGGCCCUGCAGCAUGGGAGAGCCUCAUUGCAGGGGGGGAUGGAAAGUUGAAAGUAAAGAAAAAAUAAUAGAAAUCAUAUAAAAAAAAAAAUGUUUUGUGCUGGCGAAACACCUCUGUUGCUCAAACCCUAUUUCUUUUUGCUGGAGAAGUUCUAUGGGUGCUGACAGCUGACGGGCAUUUGUGCGGCAUUAAUGGCUCGGGAAGGUAACGCUCAUAUUUUGGCUCUUUGCCUUGGAAGGGAACCGAAGCAACUUUUUGUUGACACCCCACUGUGUUACACCUUCAGGGGUUUUCUCCUCUCUGCCUCGUGGUGGUUGCACCCUGUGUGCUGCUGCAGGACAAAUACAGCACGGGUACAGUCAGACACUGCCCCACGAGCAGCUCCUGAGCAAUCAGCUCUGCGGGGUUCAGGAGGUCCUUAUUUUCAGGGGGGAAGUGCUUUAAUCAAGAUUAAUUUUUUCCAGUUUUCAGUAAUCGGAGCUCUUCCUGAGUUUUCCUCAGCUCUCCUGUAGAAUGGAAUUAUCAGAUUUCCAUGGCAAUUAAAGCAGAAAGCUGCAGGCACGCGGAUUGCUCCGUACGAUGGCUGAUGGGGAACAAGUGGAUAGAGGCUGCGAGAAGGAAAGAGGAUUUUCACGGCUGCUGCAGGGCCAGCCGAGCCUUGCAACGAGCUGCAAGCUCCUGCAGCACUUCUUGCCUUUCCCUCGGUGCAAAACACCCAGCGUGCAAUGAUGGAGAGAGCAAAAGGACUGGACUUUGGUGCUGGUUGGUUCUGAAUCCAGCAGAUGCUCGCUGGUGGGUGCAUGGGUGCUGCACUAUGGGAUGAUAGAGGGGUGAUUCUGUUCUGUGCUCUGCCCUUCCUGGGUCCCAUUGCUACUUGCAAAAUCAGGAUCAGUCCCUGCAAAGCCUGCCAGUGGCUCAGGAGCUGCAGGAAACUCACCAACCAUCCACCCAUCCCACCAUACCCACAGUGCUGUGUCCCUAUGUGCCACACCUGCACCAUGCAGCAUGUGAGUCAUGGCUGCUCUUCCACUUCAACAAAGGAAGAGCCAACCAAGCCAAGGUAACACCCACGGUGAUGAGGUGAAGGGCUUAAUUACUCACUGGAUUUCACUGCCACACCAUUUCUGAGGCUGACUGCUAUGAUAUAUGUGAGGAACAUCAGACAUUGAUCACAAAAUACAAAGGGAGGAGGGAAAAGAAGUCUCCCUGUGGUUUGGAUCCUGAGCCCAGGGUUGCUCUCCACUAUGAAAGCAUGAGUUUUCAACUAGAAAAUGGCACUUCUGGCUGGGAUGCUAUUUUCUGGGCUCAGCCAGAGCCAGAAGGGGCAAUGCCACCCAACAGACCCUUGUCCCGUUGCUCUCAGGUGUUGACCCAUGUCUCCAUUCUUCAUUUGUCCCCAUCCUUGCUGAAGGAAAGCACGUCCCACGGAGGGCACUGGGCUUCUCCCCCAUGCUGCAGCCCAGCCCCCACUCCACAGCCAUAUGCAGCAUAUCACCUUCUCUUCGGGGUUGGGUUACCCUGCAGUAAUUCACUUACAGUUCACAAAUGAUAAAUCCUUGCACAGUUGGCUGAGAAAUCUGGGCUAACAAGGAAUGGAAGUGAAUUAUUAAAUCCAAAUGGCGCCAUGGCCUGUCCACUCUACUCCUCAGCCACAUUAACAACACCGUGGGGCAUGAUGACCUGCUGUGUGGCAAUAGCUGCUCCCAGGUAUGCCUGGGAUAGGGCUGUAGCUCCGGGUAGGGUGCACAGAGGUAUCCACCUCUGAAUUGCACAGCUGGAGAGAAAGAUGUGAGCUGUGUCCCAGCGUGGGUGUCCUCACAGCCCGUGUCAUACCCGAGUGAGCUGCUUCCAGCAGUGACUUAAAUGCAAACAGCAGAAAGCCACUAAAUCCUGACAUUUGCCCCUUCCCAUCAGGCAUUGGCACUGGCUGAUCCCUUUGUGCUUUCCAGAAAUAGCUGGGGCUCCGUGUGCCUUUCAGCCUUGGCUUUGGGGAGAGGUGAGGACUACAGAGGGAAAUCCCAGCAGCGGGACUGGCCCUGAUCUGCUGUGAAGUGAGUUCAUCUGACCUGCUCACCCCCGUGUGCCCUGCCCUGGUUUUAUUCGUGUAUGUAUUCAUUUCAUAGCAUCACAGCAUCCCAGCAUCAUAGAAUGGUUGGGUUGGAAGGGAUCCCAAAGCCCUCCCAGCCCCAAGCCUUGCUGUGGGCUGGUUGCCCCCUAGCAGAUCAGGUUGCCCAGGGCCCCCUCAGCCUGGCCUUGGGCACAUCCAGGGAUGUAUCCUAAAUCAAUGGGACAUCCCAUCAGCCAAUGGGCCAUCCAGUCAGCGGGGCUUCCAAUCAAUGGGACAUCCAAACAGUGGGAUGUCCAAUCAAUGGGACUUCUUCCUUCAAAAGGACCGCAGAACAUAUGGGAAGUCAUGGGGUUUUUCCUAAGGAUGAAGUUUAUAGAAGUGACUAUUAUGGCAUUGUUUUCAAGCUUAUUAGCUGUGUCAUACUGUUAUUGCCUCCAGUCAUUUUUGGUAGAAAACAAAUAAACAGCGAGUAUUUGUCAAUCUCAGUAAUAAACUAUAGUGGCAGCAAGCUUAAUCUGGUGUUAAUUAGGCUUGUGGAAAACUAAAUCAAGCACCAGAAACCACAGAUUAUUUUAGGCUUCCUCUAGCAUAAACACGAAGGCUUGAGGAUCCAUAACGUAUUAUUUUUGUUGACAGUUCCCCACUUUUCCCCCAAUUUAUUUCAUGUAUCCGAUAGGCUGCUCCUUGAUUGCUUUUAGUUCUGUCUUCUUUUGGCCUCAGCGUGGCAGUUUGUUAAUCCUUCCUAUUUUUGUGUAUUUAAGCAGGAUUACAGACUUCAAAUACGCUGUAAAAGGAACCCGUAUACAACCCUUCAAAAUCACUUAAGUGGGCCAAUGACAGAAGUACCAGCCCUGCAAGUACAUACAGAGCACUGCGGAAAUCAUCCCCGGUGUUUAUUUAUGAGCCACUUUUAAUUAUUCAGCGGGAAUGAAUGAAAGAGGUGGAAAAUGGGAAGCGACAGAGGGCUUUGCAUUGAGUUACAGCUCGUGGAGAGCAAAGGGAGAGAUCACGGCGCUUUCAAGUCGCGAUGGUUGGAGGGUAUAAUUACACCCUGCUGCUUUAUGGGCCAAACCUCAGAGAAUUCAAUGGCAAACUGUGUUUCAGAGAGCGUGAGGAGCCCUCAGAAGGCUUCACACAGCACUGAGGAAGAGCAGAAUGCUUCACAUAGGCAGCAGCAGGCAUGGCAGAGCCCUGGGCUCAGCAAGGUCACCUGUCUGAAGGGGAGCUGCACGGACAGCAGUGCGAGUUCUGCUUGGCACGUCUGCAGGGAGCAGAUAUGGAGAAGGAGAAGUGCUGCGAUGCCACGUGGUUAGCUGAAAAGUGUUUUCUCUGCAGCUCCCACAGGAAAGGCCCAUGACUGAGAAAGAACAUGGUGUUCGUUCAUUGGGACAAGCUGAUCUUCAAGCUGAUUUGUGUUAAUUUGGAAAGUGAGAUCUUUUUUUUGUUGUUGUUGUUCCCCCUUUCUUUUUCCAGGAAAAAUGGAGCUGUCUGGUUUUGAUCACUUGGUGUGCUCAGCACCAAAGCCCUCAGAGUAAAUAUCUCCUAUGAAGGACAUUAAGGACCAACUCAUGGGGAGCAGCAGCAGGAAAACACUGCCAUAAACCCAAUACACAUCACGGUGCAUUCGUUUGUUACUUGGCACUGUAGCCGGGGCAGGGAAAACAUAGGAAGGCAUGGAGCAGAAUGGUGCCUCGGGGUGAUGAGUACAGCUGGGGCAGUGUGAUUAGCCCCAAGUGGCAGAGUCCUCCAUGCGCCCUGCAAGGCAGCUGAUGGCUCUGUGCUCCCUUUCCUGCUGGCUAUGGGAGGAAGGAGGGGAUGACCGGGCACGGUGCAAGCCAGCCUUGCUUUCCAUUCGAAUCCUAGAACCGUAGCCAAAGAAAACAAAGAAAUAGAAAAAGAAAGACGACGCACGGCAGCGUGCUGCUGCUGGAGGAAGGCCGAUAAGGCGGCAGCUGCUGCUCUUCCUCUGGGCUGCCCAGCAGAAAGCUGAAGGCAGCGCCGCCCGGCUCCUCACCCCAGCGCCGGGGAACGGCUUUAAGGAGCCGUGAUGCUCAGCGGGCUGAUAGGCAGAGCGGACGGCAGACCUUCCAGCUUCCUUCUGCCUUCCGAGCACACUCUGCCCAUUGGGCCCCGCUGUAGUGUCACCUCGGGGAUCUCUGUGGUGUUAAAGCGAACUUCUGCACAAGAGCGAGCAACUCCCGUUUGCACCCCCGCCGGUAUUUCUUCCCCAGAAGUGAACUUGCUGCUCUUCGCCGCGAGAUGGAGCCUUCAGAUCGAGCCCUUUCCCUUAGGGUUGGUGGUUGUCUAAAGCAAUUAAGCCUCAUUUAGAGAUCGCACGUGUUUAGUUUUCUCAGAUUACUAUCUGUGGGUCUUUAUUAUUUUUUUUUGUUAAUGAAUCAUAUUUUUCAUCAUCUCUCUCUCUUUUAUCUGAUACGAGGAAACUGCAAAGGCUGCCAGAAUGGGUGCUGCUCCAGCCCAGCUCUGCAGAGGAGGACAGUGAACAAUGCAGCUCUUCUUCCUGGAGAAGCAUCACUCACAGCAUCACAGAAUGGUUGGGUUGGAAGGAACCUCAAGGACCACGAAGCUCCAACACUCCUGCUGCAGGCAGGGCCACCAACCUCCACACUCCAUACCAGCCCAGGCUGCCCAGGGCCCCAUCCAACCUGGCCUUGAACACCUGCAGGGAUGGAUGGGGCAUCCACAGCCCCUCUGGCAGCUGUUCCAGCACCUCACCACUCUCAUAGUAAAGAACUUCCCCUCUGACAUCCAACCUAAAUCUUCCCUCCUUCAACGUUAAACCGUUUCCCCUUGUCCUGCUCGAUGCAUUGCUCGAUGCCACACCACAGGGACAAAGCAGCUGCAGAAAGUGUGUGUUGUGCAAAAGCUGGGGCACGAGUGGGGGCUAAAAGGGACACCUGGAUGGCAGCAUGCUGUCCUUCUCUCUGUUCACCUUCUAGCUCAAUUCUACUUCUGAAAUCUGCCCCCAUUCCAUAUCCUACUGUUCUUCCUGAAGGGCAACGGAAAAGGAUGGCUCUGCUCUUUGGCACCAGCAGAGCUGCUCCUGCCCUGCCUGCUGUGCACCCAUCUGCCACGCUCCUCCCCGGCCUCUGCCCACAGCCACGUCCCCAAAUACCCCGAGAUCUCACUUCCCUUUGGUUUCACUGCCUUUCAGCCCCGAGGGACCAAAUGUUUUGUUUUGCUCUGUGCGUUUCCACGUUCAUCUUUCAUCUUCUGUUUGAAGCUAUUGUGAAGAAGCUGCGAAAAGCAAUGUGGCCCUGGUGCUCCUCUGAUGGCACUCGGGCUCUGGAGAGGUGUCUGAAAGCUGACAGCAGAGCUCUGUGCUGCUGGGAGGAACCAACUUCUGCGUUUGGGCACCCCACUCUGUGGGGAUUGGGGCCAGGACGGGUUGGAGCAGAACCCCAAAGUCUGAAUGCAAUUCAGUGUUUGCCAGAAGGCAGGGACUGAUAAGGCCUGCUGGGCUCUCAGUGCACCUCUUUAGGCACAUAGUGACAAGGAAAAGGUUCAGCUCAGCGAGGAGCAGGCAGUGGCCACUGCUCUGCUGCCUCUGCCCUGUGUGGGCAGCCCUGCCCCGUGAAGCCCUUCCCUUCCCAGACUUAAAACCAACGCCCUCCUGAGUGCCUUCCUGUACCAGCUCCUUUCUGCUCUCUCUCUCUCUCUAUUUUCUGGGGUCACAGCAAAGAGCAGCACUGGGGCAGCACCCAUGGGACCAUAAUGUGUUUGUAGCACACGGACAGACACACGCAGAGCAUUGCUGCUGAGUUCACUGCAGGUCCUCUGGUGCUGCUGUCAAACCUUCAUUUUCAGGUGUUGGAAAUCAUUUGUUUCCCUUCAUCUGUUUUCUGUCCGCAGAUGGUGCUUCCUCUGUAGGUGAUGGACUCGAGGUGACAGUGAUGGCUCAGUGCUUCCUCAUAUAAGCAGAGCUCCAGAACCACCCUCAGCACAGUGCUGCGCAAUGGCUGCAAUGCUUCGCAGAGGAUCAGUGUGUGUAUGUAAAUGGCAGAAUGUUCUCAAGCAGCACUGGAUUUUGCAUUUUAGCAAGGAUUUCCUUCCCAACUCCUCCUUCCUCAGUGCUGCUCAGUACCUCUUUCCCACUCCUGCCCCUUGUUCUUCCCUGCCCAGCUCUUUGCCCUGCAUGGCACGUUCCAGCCCCUCCUUUCUUGCUGAUCUCUGUGAUUAAAAGGUGGUGAGCAACA